UAAUCUUUCCAGUCAUAAGUAUUCCAGUUGCUCUGAACCGACACAUCGUGUAGUUUACCGGGCAAGUCUUCCAUUCCAUAAUCUAAAGAACCGUGACUAAGUUUCCGGGUAGAAGUAAGCUAACGACGAUAAGAUUCCCGAUCUCCCUCUCACUUGAAGGACCAUUAUACGGAUUGAAGUUGUUCUUGAGGUCAAUAGACCCGAAUCUUCCUACUCAGAACGUGCUGCCUUUGCCGAUACCUGCUAGAUUAAUUGAUUCUCCGUCGUCAACCGAGGUAAUUAGUUCAGUUAUAACGUCCGCAUAAAAUAAGUAGUUGUCUUAAAUAGUAAAUUUAUUAAGUAUUAUAUUAUUGUUUAUCGAGUAAGACGUGUGCAGGUUUAAAGUAGAUUUCCUGUUGGUUACGU